rnacentral:rRNA from 1 species
AUUGAGCGCUGGCGGCAUGCCUUACACAUGCAAGUCGAACGGCAGCGGGGACUUCGGUCCGCCGGCGAGUGGCGAACGGGUGAGUAAUGUAUCGGAACGUACCAUUGAGUGGGGGAUAACUAUCCGAAAGGAUAGCUAAUACCGCAUAUUCUCUCCGGAGGAAAGCAGGGGACCGCAAGGCCUUGCGCUCAUUGAGCAGCCGAUAUCAGAUUAGCUAGUUGGUGAGGCAAAGGCUCACCAAGGCGACGAUCUGUAGCGGGGCUGAGAGGAUGGUCCGCCACACUGGAACUGAGACACGGUCCAGACUCCUACGGGAGGCAGCAGUGGGGAAUUUUGGACAAUGGGGGCAACCCUGAUCCAGCCAUGCCGCGUGAGUGAAGAAGGCCUUCGGGUUGUAAAGCUCUUUCGGCCGGGAAAAAAUCGCAUGGGUUAAUAUCCUGUGUGGAUGAUGGUACCGGAAUAAGAAGCACCGGCUAACUACGUGCCAGCAGCCGCCGUAA